UCUUAUCAAGAGUGGUGGAGGGAAGUGCCCGAUGAUACCACGGCAACCGUCUUUUAGACAAGGUGCCAAGUCACUGUUAUUUAAUUAACGAAGAUGAG
rnacentral:ncRNA from 1 species